rnacentral:rRNA from 1 species
AUUGAACGCUGGCGGCAUGCCUUACACAUGCAAGUCGAACGGCAGCACGGGAGCAAUCCUGGUGGCGAGUGGCGAACGGGUGAGUAAUAUAUCGGAACGUGCCCAGUCGUGGGGGAUAACGCAGCGAAAGCUGUGCUAAUACCGCAUACGAUCUAUGGAUGAAAGCGGGGGACUCGCAAGGGCCUCGCGCGAUUGGAGCGGCCGAUAUCAGAUUAGGUAGUUGGUGGGGUAAAGGCUCACCAAGCCGACGAUCUGUAGCUGGUCUGAGUGGAAGAUCAGCCACACUGGGACUGAGACACGGCCCAGACUCCUACGGGAGGCAGCAGUGGGGAAUUUUGGACAAUGGGCGCAAGCCUGAUCCAGCAAUGCCGCGUGCAGGAUGAAGGCCUUCGGGUUGUAAACUGCUUUUGUACGGAACGAAAAGCCCUGGGUUAAUACCCUGGGGCCAUGACGGUACCGUAAGAAUAAGCACCGGCUAACUACGUGCCAGCCGCCGCAGUAACAC